GACGAACGCUGGCGGCGUGCCUAAUACAUGCAAGUUGAGCGAUGAAGAUUGGUGCUUGCACCAAUUUGAAGAGCAGCGAACGGGUGAGUAACGCGUGGGGAAUCUGCCUUUGAGCGGGGGACAACAUUUGGAAACGAAUGCUAAUACCGCAUAACAACUUUAAACAUAAGUUUUAAGUUUGAAAGAUGCAAUUGCAUCACUCAAAGAUGAUCCCGCGUUGUAUUAGCUAGUUGGUGAGGUAAAGGCUCACCAAGGCGAUGAUACAUAGCCGACCUGAGAGGGGGAUCGGCACCAUUGGGACGGAGACACGGCCCAAACUCCUACGGGAGGCAGCAGGAGGGAAUCUUCGGCAAUGGACGAAAGGCUGACCGAGCAACGCCGCGUGAGUGAAGAAGGUUGUCGGAUCGUAAAACUCUGUUGGUAGAGAAGAACGUUGGUGAGAGUGGAAAGCUCAUCAAGUGACGGUAACUACCCAGAAAGGGACGGCUAACUACGUG
rnacentral:rRNA from 1 species